rnacentral:rRNA from 1 species
GUGCCAGCCGCCGCGGUAAUACGUAGGUGGCAAGCGUUAUCCGGAAUUAUUGGGCGUAAAACGCGCGCAGGUGGUUUCUUAAGUCUGAUGUGAAGGCCCACGGCUCAACCGUGGAGGGUCAUUGGAAACUGGGCGACUUGAGUGCAGAAGAGGAAAGUGGAAUUCCAUGUGUAGCGGUGAAAUGCGUAGCGAUACGGGGGAAAACCAGUGGCGAAGGCGACUUUCUGGUAGG